AAACAAACCACUUGAGCAAUUUUUUUAACUGCAGCUUGGGCUUCAGUGCCCCAGCAAUGAACCUCUUUCAAAGGACUUCCUUUUCUUAUCAUCGCAUUGAUAUAAAAUUCCAAUAAACUGGGACUGCUUGUUUUUUUUCUACCUAUAAUGGGUAAGUGGAUGUUCCAACCAGAUCCACAGUGUGGAUGGCACUUAAUAUAAAAACGAGCUAAAUUGAAAGAUCAGCGAAAAUCUGAGGGAAAACACUUGCUUUUCUUUUACAUGGUAUUGUUCCAUGUUCCAAAGUGUUUCACCCAUUUCACGGAAGAAGCUAUUUGUGCACUAUUACGUCACUUUCUCAUACUCAUGGCUGUAUUGCUGAUAUUUGCUGAACCUAAUAUUAUAUCAAGUUAAUCAAGAUUUUUAGCAGAAAACAAUUUUAAAACAUGCAAUAUGGUGCCUGCUUACUUCUUCACCCAGCUACUAUUUUUAAAAAUGCAGAAUGUAUUACUUUUCCUUGUGCAAAGCACCUCGGUUAUGGGUGUUGCAGCUUCUAAGAGUUUAGGUCUUAAAUGUUUUCACUGUGUGUAACCACAUCAAGAGAGUUGCAUAUCCUGUUUAUCUCUAAACCUACUACUAUUACCUUAGUGACUGACUGAAGACAAAAAAAAAAGAAAAAGAAAAGAAAGAAAAACAGAAGGCUUACAUUGUGUAAAUCUGCUUCUGUUUGGGAGGUCUUCAGGUUUCUCUGGCAUACUCUGUAGAGCGUAAUAACAUUAGGCCCUGAUACACUUAUGCGAAGUUAACUACCUUAAAAAAAAAAAAAAAAAAACUAAAUAAAAAUGACUACCAGCGUGUGGACCUCCAUGUAUUUGGAAAAAAAAACCCCAACAGUGUACAGAAUACUGCCUGACGUGGACGCGCAUUAAGCAUAGCUGUCAUGAAAUCUGAAUUAAAAUAAAAUUAGUAAGGAGGAUUUCUUCUUAUUUACAUAGGACAUGACAAUUACUUCAUUUGAUAAUCUACAAUUUGCCUAUUUACUAAAUAAAAUAUAUGUCGAUACAUGUGCAAAAUAUCCUUGGCAGAGCAAGAAGGAGAAUCAUUUACAUGCAGGUAAAUGCAUGACUUUAAAGUGCAUUGACACAAUAUUCGAUAAGCAUUUUCCCUCAUUAUGUUUUCAAGCAAGUUUGGAGAGCAGUCUUACUGCUUCCUUAACUAAAUCAAAAGCAAAAGUGUCAACCAAACUCACUGGAAGCUGCAAAUGUGAAGUGAAGAAUUUCCUCACCAGAACAAUAAAAUUGCAAUUUACUGCAACUCUGUCAAAUUACAAUUAAAAGCAAUGCAAGUUACAAUCAGGGUUUGGUGCACUAAAUUAAAAAUGUUAGAUCUCACACUGCUGUGCAUAUGAUACAAAACUAGUAGCAUAAAAAAGAAGACAUACGUAGGAAACCUGGUGCUGUACAUACAACUGCAUAGCUUG
ensembl:lncRNA